rnacentral:rRNA from 1 species
CCUACGGGGGGCUGCAGUGGGGAAUAUUGGACAAUGGGGGGAACCCUGAUCCAGCCAUGCCGCGUGUGUGAAGAAGGCCCUCGGGUUGUAAAGCACUUUCAGUGAGGAAGAACGCCUGGUGGUUAAUACCCAUCAGGAAAGACAUCACUCACAGAAGAAGCACCGGCUAAUUCCGUGCCAGCAGCCGCGGUAAUACGGAGGGUGCGAGCGUUAAUCGGAAUUACUGGGCGUAAAGCGCGCGUAGGUGGCUUGAUAAGCCGGUUGUGAAAGCCCCGGGCUCAACCUGGGAACGGCAUCCGGAACUGUCAAGCUAGAGUGCAGGAGAGGAAGGUAGAAUUCCCGGUGUAGCGGUGAAAUGCGUAGAGAUCGGGAGGAAUACCAGUGGCGAAGGCGGCCUUCUGGACUGACACUGACACUGAGGUGCGAAAGCGUGGGUAGCAAACAGGAUUAGAUACCCUAGUAGUC